rnacentral:rRNA from 1 species
UGGGGAAUAUUGCACAAUGGGGGAAACCCUGAUGCAGCGACGCCGCGUGAACGAAGAAGGUAUUCGUAUCGUAAAGUUCUUUCCUAUGGGAAGAUAAUGACAGUACCAUAGAAGAAAGCUCCGGCUAAAUACGUUCCAGCAGCCGCGGUAAUACGUAUGGAGCGAGCGUUGUCCGGAAUUAUUGGGCGUAAAGGGUACGCAGGCGGUUUAAUAAGUCGAAUGUUAAAGAUCGGGGCUCAACCCCGCAAAGCAUUGGAAACUGAUAAACUUGAGUAGUGGAGAGGAGAGUGGAAUUCCUAGUGUAGUGGUGAAAUACGUAGAUAUUAGGAGGAAUACCAGUAGCGAAGGCGACUUUCUGGACACAAACUGACGCUGAGGUACGAAAGCGUGGGGAGCAAACAGG